GCAAGAUACCACGGGCGCACGGCGGAUGCCUUGGCACAGGGAGCCGAUGAAGGACGCGGCAAGCUGCGAUAAUCCCCGGCGAGGAGCACACAUCCUUCGACCCGGGGGUCUCCGAAUGGGCGAACCCAUGCACAGCAGUGUGCAUAUCCCCCCGCUGAACACAUAGGCGGGGGGAGGACAACCCGGGGAACUGAAACAUCUAAGUACCCGGAGGAGAGGAAAUCAAUCUCGAGACUCCCCGAGUAGCGGCGAGCGAAAGGGGACCGAUGGCCAAACCGUCGAGCGGGCAUACCCGGCAGGGGUUCCGCCGACGGGGUUGCAGGGCCGCGCAUCCGGGGGCUGCCGCCCCCGGGCGCAGGUCCGGCUGGGGAGCGGAACGGCAUGGGAGGGCCGGCCGCAGCGGGUGACAGCCCCGUACGCGAACCCAGACCGGACGGCGCGACGCGGUCCCUGAGUAGGGCCGGGCACGUGAAACCCGGUCCGAACCUGGGUGGACCACCAUCCAAGCCUGAGUACUACCCUGUGACCGAUAGCGCACCAGUACCGUGAGGGAAAGGUGAAAAGCACCCCGGGAGGGGAGUGAAACAGUACCUGAAACCGUGCGCCCACGAGCAGUCGGAGCAACUUUAUGUUGUGACGGCGUGCCUUUUGUAGAAUGAGCCAGCGAGUCGCUGGCGCGGGGCGAGGUUAACCGAAAGGGAGCCGGAGCGAAAGCGAGCCUUAACAGGGCGACUUGAGUCCCGCGCCGCGGACGCGAAGCCGGGUGAGCUAUCCGUGGGCAGGCUGAAGCGGGGGUAAGACCCCGUGGAGGGCCGAACGCACGUCGGUUGAAAACGGCGGCGAUGACCUGCGGAUAGGGGUGAAAGGCCAAUCAAACCCGGAGAUAUCUCGUUCUCCCCGAAAUAGCUUUAGGGCUAGCGUCGCGCGUUCACCGCCGGAGGUAGAGCACCGGAUGGACGAGGGGGCUUCGCCGCCUACCGAAUCCAACCGAACUCCGAAUGCCGGCGGCCCAGAGCGCGGCAGUCAGAGCAUGUGGGCUAAGCUGUGUGCUCGAGAGGGAAACAGCCCGGACCGCCCGCUAAGGUCCCCAAGUUCCAGCCGAGUGGCAAAGGAUGUGCGUCCGCCCAGACAACCAGGAUGUUGGCUUAGAAGCAGCCAUCCAUUCAAAGAGUGCGUAACAGCUCACUGGUCGAGUGGACAUGCGCCGACAAUACACGGGGCUAAGCUGGACACCGAAGCGGCGGGAUUUUAAUUCAUUAGAAUCGGUAGGGGAGCUUCCCAUGGGCGGAGAAGCCGGAGGGCGACCGACGGUGGAGCGCAUGGGAGUGAGAAUGCUGGCAUGAGUAGCGAGAGACGAGAGAGUAACUCGUCCGCCGUGAACCCGAGGUUUCCUGGGCAAGGCUAAUCCUCCCAGGGUCAGUCGGGGGCUAAGGCGAGGCCGGUAGGCGUAGCCGACGCGCAGCAGGCAGACAUUCCUGCACCGCGCACGCGGCGCUACGACCGACGGGGCGACGGAUGGGGGUGGCUCGGCGGGGUUCUGGACGUCCCCGUGAUGGAGCGCGGCCCGCGGACCAGGGAAAUCCGGUCCGCAGAAGGGCGAGGCUCCGGACGAAGCGACUGAGCGAAGCGAGUGAGCCCGAGGUCCCUAGAAAAACCCCUAGGCAGGCGCGUGCGCGCCCGUACCGCAAACCGACACAGGUGGGUGGGUAGAACAUACCGAGGCGAUCGGGUCAACCAUGGUCAAGGAACUCGGCACAAUGGCCCCGUAACUUCGGGAGAAGGGGUGCCCGCGCGUACGUGAACGGACUUGCUCCGGGAGCGGAGGCGGGCCGCAGUGGAGAGGCCCAAGCGACUGUUUACCAAAAACACAGGACUCUGCAGAAGCCGCAAGGCGACGUAUAGGGUCUGACGCCUGCCCGGUGCCGGAAGGUCACGCGGAGGAGUUAGCCGAUUCGGCGAAGCCCCGAAGCCAAGCCCCGGUAAACGGCGGCCGUAACUAUAACGGUCCUAAGGUAGCGAAAUUCCUUGUCGGGUAAGUUCCGACCUGCACGAAUGG
rnacentral:rRNA from 1 species